rnacentral:rRNA from 1 species
CACUCCUGCGGGAGGCAGCAGUGGGGAAUAUUGCACAAUGGGCGCAAGCCUGAUGCAGCCAUGCCGCGUGUAUGAAGAAGGCCUUCGGGUUGUAAAGUACUUUCAGCGGGGAGGAAGGCGAUAAGGUUAAUAACCUUGUUGAUUGACGUUACCCGCAGAAGAAGCACCGGCUAACUCCGUGCCAGCAGCCGCGGUAAUACGGAGGGUGCAAGCGUUAAUCGGAAUUACUGGGCGUAAAGCGCACGCAGGCGGUCUGUCAAGUCGGAUGUGAAAUCCCCGGGCUCAACCUGGGAACUGCAUUCGAAACUGGCAGGCUAGAGUCUUGUAGAGGGGGGUAGAAUUCCAGGUGUAGCGGUGAAAUGCGUAGAGAUCUGGAGGAAUACCGGUGGCGAAGGCGGCCCCCUGGACAAAGACUGACGCUCAGGUGCGAAAGCGUGGGGAGCAAACAGGAUUAGAUACCCUAGUAGUCCCAU